rnacentral:rRNA from 1 species
UACGGAGGGUGCAAGCGUUGCUCGGAAUUAUUGGGCGUAAAGGGUGGGUAGGUGGUCUCAUUUGUCUGGGGUGAAAGCCUUGAGCUUAACUCAAGAAGUGCCCCAGAAACGGUGAGACUAGAGUCUUGGAGAGGGUCGUGGAAUUCCCGGUGUAGCGGUGAAAUGCGUAGAGAUCUGGAGGAAUACCGGUGGCGAAGGCGGCCCCCUGGACAAAGACUGACGCUCAGGUGCGAAAGCGUGGGGAGCAAACAGG